UACCUGGUUGAUCCUGCCAGUAGUCAUAUGCUUGUCUCAAAGAUUAAGCCAUGCAUGUCUAAGUAUAAGCUUCUAUACGGUGAAACUGCGAAUGGCUCAUUAAAACAGUUAUCGUCUCCUUGACAGUCAUCCAGUUUUGGAUACCUAUGGUAAUUCUAGAGCUAAUACAUAUGUACAGACCCGACUUUUCGGAAGGGUUGUGCUUAUUAGAUACUGAACCAACCUGUGCUUGCACGGUUUUGAGUUGACUCAUAGUAACCAGCGAAUCGCAUGCUUCGUGCGGCGAUGUGUCAUCCGAGUUUCUGACCUAUCAGCUUCCGACGGUAGGGUAUUGGCCUACCGUUGCUUUGACGGGUAACGGAGAAUUAGGGUUCGAUUCCGGAGAGGGAGCCUGCGAAACGGCUACCACAUCUAAGGAAGGCAGCAGGCGCGCAAAUUACCCAAUCCUGACAUAGGGAGGUAGUGACAAGAAAUACCAAUACGAGGCAUCUACGUCUAGUAAUUGGCAUGAGUGAGAUUUACAACGCUUCACGAGUAUCAAUUGGAGGGCAAGUCUGGUGCCAGCAGCCGCGGUAAUUCCAGCUCCAAUAGC
rnacentral:rRNA from 1 species